ACGGGAGGCAGCAGUGGGGAAUAUUGCGCAAUGGGCGGAAGCCUGACGCAGCGACGCCGCGUGGGGGAUGACGGCCUUCGGGUUGUAAACCUCUUUCGACCGGGACGAAGGGUUUCUGACGGUACCGGUAGAAGAAGCACCGGCCAACUACGUGCCAGCAGCCGCGGUAAUACGUAGGGUGCGAGCGUUGUCCGGAAUUAUUGGGCGUAAAGAGCUCGUAGGCGGUCUGUCGCGUCGGUCGUGAAAACUUGGGGCUUAACCCUGAGCUUGCGGUCGAUACGGGCAUGACUGGAGUUCGGCAGGGGAGACUGGAAUUCCUGGUGUAGCGGUGAAAUGCGCAGAUAUCAGGAGGAACACCGGUGGCGAAGGCGGGUCUCUGGGCCGAUACUGACGCUGAGGAGCGAAAGCGUGGGGAGCGAACAGGAUUAGAUACCCUGGUA
rnacentral:rRNA from 1 species